rnacentral:rRNA from 1 species
AUUGCCUUAGUAACGGCGAGUGAAGCGGCAAAAGCUCAAAUUUGAAAUCUGGCACCUUUGGUGUCCGAGUUGUAAUUUGAAGAAAGUAACUUUUGGAAUAAGCCUUGCAUAAGUUCCUUGGAACAGGACGUCAUAGAGGGUGAGAAUCCCGUAUAUGGUGGGGUAUUUAUUUCAAUGUAAAGUGCUUUCGAAGAGUCGAGUUGUUUGGGAAUGCAGCUCUAAGUGGGUGGUAAAUUCCAUCUAAAGCUAAAUAUUGGCGAGAGACCGAUAGCGAACAAGUACAGUGAUGGAAAGAUGAAAAGAACUUUGAAAAGAGAGUGAAAAAGUACGUGAAAUUGUUGAAAGGGAAGGGCUUGAAAUCAGACUUGGUAUUCAGUGAUCAGCAAUCUCUCGGGGUUGUGCACUUGCUGUUUACUGGGCCAGCAUCGGUUUUGACGGUGAGAUAAUAGCACUUGAAUGUGGCUCUCUUCGGGGAGUGUUUAUAGCUUGUGUUGAUAUCAUCAGUCGGGA